rnacentral:rRNA from 1 species
UGUAAACUUCUUUUAUAAAGGAAUAAAGUCAGAUAUGCAUACCCGCUUGCAUGUACUUUACGAAUAAGGAUCGGCUAACUCCCUGCCAACAGCCGCGGGAAUACGGAGGAUCCGAGCGUUAUCCGGAUUUAUUGAGCUUAAAGGGAGCGUAGAUGGAUGUUUAAGUCACUUGUGAAAGUCCGCGGCACAGCCGUAAAAUUGCAGCUGAUACUGGAUAUCUUGAGUGUAGUAGAGGCAAGCGGAAUUCGUGACGGAGCAGAGAAAUGCAUAAAUAUCACGAACAACUCCGAUUGCCAAGGCAGCCUGCUAAGCUGCAACUGACAUUGAGGCUCGAAAGAGUGGAUAUCAAACACGAUUAGAUACCCUGGUAGUCCACACCGUAAACGAGGAAUACUAGCUGUUUGGGAUAUACAGCAAGCGGCCAAGAGAAGUGCGUUAAGUAUUCCACCUGGGGAGUACGCAGGUAACGGUGAAAGUCAGAGGAAUUGACGGGGGGCCGCGCAAGCGGAGGAACAUGUGGUUUAAUUAGAAGCUACGCGAGGUACCUUCAUCGGGCUUAAAGGGCAGAUGAAUUUCGGUGCAAUCGGUAAACCGCAAGCCAUCGGUGAAGGUUCGUCAUGGUUGUCGUCAGCUCGAGCCGUGAGGAGUUGGCGUAAGGACCACAACGAGCGCAACCCUUAUCGUCACUUAAUAGCAGGUUCUGUGGGGGGCUCUGACAAGAUAGCCAUGGUAAGAUGUGAGGAAGGUGGGGAAGACUUCAAAUCAGCACGGCCCUGUACGUCCGGGGCUACACACGUGUUUCAAUGGGGGGUACAGAGGUCCGGUACCACGCGAGUGGACACCAAUCCCCAAACCCUUUCUCAGUUAGUAUGGGAGUCUGCAACCCGAAUCCAGGAAGCUGGAUUCUCUCGUAAUCGAGCAUCAGCCAGGGCGCGGUGAAUGCUUUCCCGGGCCUUGUCCACCCCGCCAGUCAAGCCAUGGGAGCCGGGGGUCCGUGAAGCGAGUACACGGGAGGAGCGCCCUAGGGUAAAAUUGGUGACUGGGGCGAAGUC